rnacentral:lncRNA from 1 species
UCAGAACCCCCACAUCAUCAUUUUACAGACACAGAAACCAUCAGUGAGAAGAAGAAGAAGAAGAAGAAGAAGAAACAAGGACAAAGAUGGCGAAAUUCUCUUGUCUCCAUGUUUUCACCAUCGCACUAUUCUUCACAGGUUGAUUGAAUCUAUCAGCAGCAUCAUCAUCAGAUUUUUGUAUUUGUAAUUCUUUUGACCAUUUCUUAACUGAUCUGUGUUCUUUUUGCGAUUCUUUUCUGAGUUGCAGGAAUGAUACUUGUUCCAGAAGUCAGUGGAUCUUCAUCUUGCAAUGAAACAUUGGGUGCGGUGGAAGACUGCCCGUUGGCUUGCGAUGCAAAAUGUUCGGGGAAACACCCCAACUAUACAGAAUACGAAUGCCUUCCCGAAGAUUUUGGUUCGGAUUUGUCUAAUUGUAUUUGUUUUUGGGACUGUUGAUGUAAUUCUCUCCCAAUGAUACAUGUUUUUAUCUUCUAAAUAUUCAUGAAUGAUAUUAAACCGACCCGAAAUUUCAACAUCAUAGAAUAAAGGGAACCAGUUCCAUUGUCAGAAUCUACAUUGGGUUUAGAUACAAGGAUGCCC